GACACCGCUGUAACGAAACAGACAUUAACCGCUCACAACUUAUUGACUUUAUAGUAUUAUUAUUUAAGGGAACUGAGAAGCAGAAAGAAAUAUAGAAAAGCAAAAAAAAUGUUUAAUGGCAAAAAUGAAUAAGAAACUAAUUUGAUUAAUUGUAACUAAAAUGAGUACAGUUAUGGAGUAAUGAAGUGUGAUAGUCAUGAGCUAUUGAUGAACGUUUCGUUAUAGUAUUUAGAAUAUAGUAAUGAAAACACUAAACCAAAUUGAUAUUACAAACUACUAUUGGAUGAUUCAUAUGUUGGUAUGGUACCCAUAUAAAUAAGAUGCAUAGGGAUAACCGGGUCAUUUUGAGUAUUUUAGGUUCAGUCCAUGCUACAUUUUCAUGCCAAGUUAUAUACACCGUGGGCCAAUUAAACCCGACAAAUUUUAACCACGCAUUCCUGAGGUCAUAAGGAGCAAAAAAUGAUAUAUGAGUUUUGACCAAAUUCGCCAAAAAAAAAAUUAUUUUUUGUCGUAAAAAAAAAUUCCUUUUGCGUUUUCUGCAAACGACACGUUAUUUAUUUUUACACCUUGGUGAAAAAAAAAAACAUUACAACGAAUAAGUAAAGGUUUUUUUUUCUUUUACAGACGAAAAUUGCGAGUUUACUUUGAAACUUUAAUAUCUGUCAGUAGGUAUGUCUAAACCAAGUCACAUAGUGGCAGCGUCACAGCUAAAAAGGCGUUUUUGACUAAGUUAUAGAAGAAACAAAUUUUCACAGAAAUUGUCAUUAUCUCUAAAAAAAGACCGAUUUCAGAAAACAUUGUAUGACAUUUUAGUCUCUAAAUGCGGUCAAGAAUACACCUUUGAAAUAUGUCGGGUUUUUAUUGGCUGACGGUGUAUAGGUACCUAUGCACAACUUAGUGCAUACUUAAAGCACUAAUAGACGUCCCGUAUUAUCAACAAUUCUUCAAACUACAGUUUGUUAGGAGAGAUGUUGUAUCACAUUCUACUUUUGUCCCUCGGACAAUGGGACAUAACAAAACACAAACAAGUCGAUUAUUUUAAGUUUGUUUAUAGUUUAUUGUUAUCAAAACUUUGUUAUAACAAGUAAAUCAAUCACGUAGUUGUUAUAAACUUGGUCCAACUAAAUAUUUGUGAUUUUAGUGAGGUUUAAAUGGCAAUGUAACGUAAAUUGCAGGCAAGAUUUUGCUAGUCUACACCUCGCUUUAAAAAAUGCCUUGUGAAGUUAUCCCCAUGCAGUGUUGAUAAUUACUCAAGUAAGUAGUAAAAGAAAGUCAUAGGCAAGGGGAAAGCCAAACUAUUAUCAUCAUAAUUAUGUCAUACAUGCAUACACAUAUUUUAUCCACCACCAACAAUAUUGUUUAAAAUCAAAAUGUAUCAUCUAUUACAUAGCUACACAACAACAACAACUAAAGAGGUUGCGGCUCCUAAAACUAGUGCGAUAAGGACAACGCCAGAUUAGGCGAGAAAUCCUGUUUAAAAAUAUCAAUAAACGAUGUUUCGUAUUCUACUGUUUCCUCCUUCAAAACUUAACCAAAUGUAACAAAUUUUGAGAUCUAAAUGAUAAUGAAAUUAUCUGUGUCGGACUUUUUUUGCUUUUUAGGCUAUUUGAUUUCAGUUUUGAAUACCACGCUUUUCUUUGCGGCCUAGUAAAUUAGGCAGUUUAUGCGAAUAUUUGAAGUGCACUAGCGCCAUAAGAAACAAAAAUAUCAAAAAAAGCAAAACUGUCCGUCACAGAUAUUAAUAAUAACAUAUGUAAUUAAUAACGUCUAAGUCCAGCCUUGGGCGUUGCAGCUCAAGGAAUUAUUAUCGAUAAACUGGUUACCAUUGUAUUGAUGGCCACAUGUAUACCAAAUUGAACUUAAAGUGUAGGUAAUUAGGAUCGUUCUGUUUUUAAUAUGUAUUUGUAUUAAGUACUUAUUCUCUAAAAUGAACUUGUUCUGUAUUUUAAGUAUAAGUCUCUGGACUUUUAUAGUGCUACCAGGCUGACGCAACUAGGAACAAAAUAAGUUUUGUAUGGAACUUGUUUCGCAAAUCUUUGCCAACGAAGAAAAAUAAAACGUCAGUGCUAUUUAUUCUGUCAAGUUUACAUCAAGUCAACUGUCAGCCUAAUUGUUUUGUUUGUUAUGAAGCCUUCAAUGUUUUGUUCGGGUAUAUCGUGCAAUUUCUUUAUUAUUUAGUGAAAAUAUCGAAAAUAGUGAACCGUGAUCAGAGUAAAAAGCGACUUUGUUACGAUGCCACCGAGAAAACGGUUUACUAAGUGUGAAAUAUGUGGCAAGCGAGCCUCUCGAGAAAAUCACGAAAAAAGGAAUUUUAUGGCGAAAUUUCCCUUGGAUAAAGACCGAUGCAGGCAGUGGGUCAAAUUUGUUGGGAACGAAGACCUGACGAUACAUCUUCCCAUAGAAAAGUUACAUUUAUUGAAACAUGUAUGUGCAGAACAUUUUGAAAAUAAAGCUUUAAAUAAAACAA